rnacentral:lncRNA from 1 species
GUGCCUCUGAACAGGAGUCAGAGGAUGGAGAAACACAUCAAGGACCCUCAGAUUCCAAGACCCCAGGCUGUGAGAGCUUUCUGCAAAGCAGCAGCAUCUUGAUGAAAGGACUACUCAUAAAGAGCUCCCUCCUAGAAAGGCCAGUGGAACAAUCUGGGGACAAUUACACGAGCACCAGUAGCUGCUGGGCAAAAUUACCUGGAUUUGAAUACAUGAAGCCACUCUCUCCUUGCCUCCCUUGUUCCAACCCGUCGAAACACCUGAUGAGGCUCUAGAAACCAAGUUUUAGGAGGGAUGUCUGAAGGAGGAUGAGAUGUUCCAACUGGAGAAGAG